AAUAAUGUAAAACUACAAUUUAUGUAUAAAUAAUAAAUAACAUAAUAAAUAAUAUAUUAUAAUAUAAUAAAUAAGAAUAAUAUAAUUAUAUUCCUAUAUAAUUAAAAAUUUAAUCUAAAACAACUGAAUUAUUUUAUAUAUAUAAAUUAUAAUAAUACAACAACACAAUUAUAAAGUAAAAAAAAUAUAAAUACUUAACUAAUCA
rnacentral:lncRNA from 1 species